GGAAGCGUGGCCGAGCGGUUUAAGGCGCUGGUCUUGAAAAUCAGUGAUGGGCAACCAUCCGUGAGUUCGAAUCUCACCGCUUCCGCCA
rnacentral:tRNA from 1 species